UGAUAGGUGGCUGAGCGGUCAAAAGCGCUAAAUUUGAAAUUUAGUAUUCGUGGGUUCAAAUCCUGCCCUAUCCU